rnacentral:precursor_RNA from 13 species
AGGACUAAACCCUCCUUUGAUAUUUAAAGGGUGGAUAUUCCUUCAAUGUUUAUGUCAUUUAUGGUUAAACACAGAGGAAAUUCCAUGUUUUCAGUAUCAAAUGCUGCUUGGAAACUGA